UCAUUUCCAUUAAUCUUCAAUCUCAAGUAAAAUUUCACCAAUUCCUCAUCCGUUGGCCUGAAUCUGAACCCCAACGGCAACGAACUAAGAGACAGCACUGCCAUAUCCACUCUACACCACUAUAGAAACCCAGAAACCACUUCAAAAAGAGAAUUCACAGAAGAAAGAAAAAGAGAAAGAGAGAUUCUUGGAGAAUUGCAAUUUUAAGGUAGGAAGGCUUUCGGAUGAUGAUGGCCCAUAGAGCUUUUCUGACGAUGAGAAUGAUGAUACUCCACUAAUAAACUAGCCUUCCUUCCGCUGGGCACUACGC
rnacentral:misc_RNA from 1 species